rnacentral:rRNA from 1 species
UACAGAGGUCUCGAGCGUUAGGCGGAAUCACUGGGCUUAAAGCGUGUGUAGGUGGAUCGUUAAGUACCUUGUGAAAUCCCACGGCUUAACCGUGGAACUGCUUGGUAUACUGGCGGUCUUGAGCCAGCUAGGGGCUACCGGAACAAAUGGUGGAGCGGUGAAAUGCGUAGAUAUCAUUUGGAACGCCAAUGGUGAAAACAGGUAGCUGGGGCUGUGCUGAC